UAAGGAAUAUUGCUCAAUGGGAGAAAUCCUGAAGCAGCAACGCCGCGUGGAGGAUGAAGGGUCUAUGACUUGUAAACUCCUGUAAAGAAGGAAAAAAUUCCCAUUUGAUGGGAGAUGAUGGUACUUCUGGAGUAAGCCCCGGCUAACUACGUGCCAGCAGCCGCGGUAAUACGUAGGGGGCAAGCGUUGUCCGGAUUUACUGGGUGUAAAGGGUGCUCAGGCGGAUUUGUAAGUCAGAGGUGAAAUCUUACAGCUUAACUGUGAAACUGCCCUUGAUACUAGAAGCCUAGGGGAUGGAAGAGAGUGAUGGAAUAUCUGGUGUAGCAGUGAAAUGCGUAGAUAUCAGAGAGAACACCAAUGGCGAAGGCAGUCACUUGGUCCAUUACUGACGCUAAAGCACGAAAGCGUGGGUAGCAAAC
rnacentral:rRNA from 1 species